UCUGCCAGAGCAGCAUAUGCCCUUAACCACUGAGCCAUCACUCCAGCCCCUUGAUUGUUUUCAAUACAUAAAAUAAGCAAAUAGGACUGGAGAGAUGGCUCAGCGGUUAAGAGCACUGACUGCUCUCCCAGAGGUUC
rnacentral:miRNA from 1 species